rnacentral:lncRNA from 1 species
GCUUUCUUUUGGCCGUUGGCUGGGUCUUCCAAGCUUCCGGGACAGCGUCAAGGAGGCGUGGCCGCUGUCUUGAGGACAAGUCCUCGAUGUGCCCUCUGACGCUGGCACGAGCGUGUUCUGGACCCGUGCCGUGCCCCCAGGCAGCUGGGGAGUUGUCUGCCGUGUAGUCCGGCGGCCACCAGGAGAAUCUGACCCAGUGUCCUGGAUGGGCCAGUUCCCAGUCGUGCGCUCGUGGCCCAGACCAGACCCGGGCUGGUGUGUGGAGCCAGCCACGCGGGCCCGUCUGUCCUCCGUGCCCUGAGUGGGCGCAGAUGAGAGAGGGCGCGGUUGCUCCGUCCGCUUUUCUCCCCUCUCGCCCCCGUGCGGGGAGCCGUCCAGCGGGGCCUGGCUGGACUGAGCCCGUGCCGGACACGGUGCUCAGUUGCCGUCCUGGAGGGCCCAGAGGAUUGCUCGAGGUGUGCCCACCAGGCCCCUCCCCUGAGACAGGGGGCUGGCUGGGUGCCGUCAGGCUCUUUCUUGGCUCCCCCUGGAACCCGGAGGUGGCCCUUGCCUGGUUCCUGGAUCCUUUCACUUCCCCUUCCUCGUCGCCUUGCCGUGUGGAAGGGAAGGGCCGCUCUUAGCCCGCCAGCCCUGGCCAAGGAGGGGAACCCACUUGGAGGGUGGGGUGGCACCAAGGCCUUGCGCGGCCCAACGCACAAGGGGGGAUGGCGGGCCCUCGCCCUGGCCCCGGUGCCACCAGUUUCCCUUGGUCGGGAUUCUUUGUGGCCUAGGCAGGCAGGCGCCCAUGCUGUCUCCGCACUGACCUAGGCACCCACCCACAUGAGGCGUCGGGAGGUGUGGGGCCGGGAGAACAUUUCUCUGCCUGGUUUCCUAGGCGGAGGCAGGUGUGUUGUCGGCAAAGACCCUCACUCAGGCCAAGUGUGUGAUGUCUCUUCUUCUUCCGCAGACGCCGAGCCCGGCACCCGGGAACCUGUUCCGGACGUGCCGCUCCCAACCAUGACUCCCAGCACCGAGGCUGACCACGACCACGACCACGACCACGACCACGACCACGACGCCGAGCCCGGCACCCGGGAACCUGUUCCGGACGUGCCGCUCCCAACCAUGACUCCCAGCACCGAGGCUGACCACGACCACGACCACGACCACGACCACGACCACGACCACGACCACGACGCCGAGCCCGGCACCCGGGAACCUGUUCCGGACGUGCCGCUCCCAACCAUGACUCCCAGCACCAAGGCUGACCACGACCACGACCACGACCACGACGCCGAGCCCGGCACCCGGGAACCUGUUCCGGACGUGCCGCUCCCAACCAUGACUCCCAGCACCGAGGAGGCUGACCACGACCACGACCACGACCACGACCCCGACCCCGAGCACGACCACGACCACGACCACGACCACGACCACGACCACGGUAGGGGCCCGUGUGCCUUGUGUCCUCUGCCCCUGGGAGCCCGCUGGGUUGCCGGGGCUCCUUGAGCGAGAACGGGCUUUCCUAUUGCCUCCGGGACCGGGAAGGUGUCGCCAUGCGAUUCCUUGUCCCGAAACGCUGGCCUGUGCUCUGGAGCUGCGGGGACGUCCUCGGGGCUCUGCCCGGGAAGGAUGUGCUCUCUGGGGAGAGAGGGGCCGCGGUGCGAGUCAGGCGCUCCGAGACGGGGCCGUGUGUCCUCCCGGGUGCUCUGGUUGGCUGCACGCUGCCUGGGCCUGUCCGCAGGUUGUCCGUUUCUCUGCGUGGUGGUCUGCUGACCCGUGCGGGAGGGGCGUAGGCUUCUCGCCCUCCACGUCUGCUCCCGCCAUGACCACCCGGGGGUCUGGUGCAGCACUCCCAGCCGCAUGCCUGG